AAGCAGUUGACUCUCGGGCUGGCCGAAACCCUUCACCGGGCUUGCCCUCCUCCCCGCAUUUUCGUUCGGGCACCUACCCCCUUCCUUUCCAGUCCUGAUGAAGGGACUCGGCCCCAACCGUCAACUCCAUUUCCAGAGAUACUAACUGACCUGCUGAGUUCCUCCGACAUUUUGAUGAUGACGACAACUCGUCAAAGGAAGGAUUUCUGCUCUUCGCAAGUGGACACGAGAGAAGACAACUGGAAGGGCGGGCAACGGAGGAGUUCAGGCUUAAGCUAAGGCAGAGGUUCCCAAACUAUCGAUGCCAUGGACCAAUACCAUUAAGCAAUGGGGCCUGAACUAAAGAGAGGACUUAUCAUCUACUUCCGCCAAUAUUGCCACCUUGUUUGUUGCCUGUAGGAACUUGCAAUGUGCAAAUUAAUUGCAGAAUUUCCAACACAAUAUUGAGUGCACAGUUAGACUGACUGUAAGAAAAAAAUCGGGACUGAAAUUAUUGUGUAAACACAAAACCGUCUUCUCAUUACAGCAGUGUAUGAAAUUCAAACUUUGCACCUCCAGGUAAAAUAAUCGCAUUUCUAAAUCUAACUCCUGAAGAUCUAAAUCAGGUUUAAUAUCAUUGGCAUUUGUCAUGAAAUCUGUUGAUAUGUGGCAGCAAUA